UUUACUUCUGGUUUGGAUAGUUGCAUUUAACGUGCUCUAUCUGUUUCAGAGCUUUUGUUCUGGUUUGGAUAGUUGCAAUAAAACUUGCUCUGUCUGUUAUCAAUAUGAAGUAGGAGAGUUUGCUUUCUAACUGUCUGUAUAUAUGGACAAUUUAUUGACUAUUUGACCUCAAAUCAGGUAGGACUACCCGCUGAACUUAA
rnacentral:misc_RNA from 1 species